rnacentral:tRNA from 1 species
ACUAAAAUGGCAGAUAAAAUUAAUGUGAGGAAUUUAAGCUUCCUAUAAGCUCAAGGCUUUUAGUA